UGGCAUUCCAGAACAUGUCCGGUUGGAAUUUCUCCCAAUAAAAUGUGUUCAAAGCAUUGUGAAGCAACCACAGAGAAACUGAAGCACAACCACAGGUGAGUCACAGUCAAAAAGGGUCAGGAGCUUUAGAAAAAUUCAUGUUUAACUCUUUGAACAAGAUUUACAAAAACCUAUUUGAGAUGACAGGGAAGGCUCGUGUGUUGUUACCAAAAAAAGCUCUGAAAAAACUUGAGACCUUAUAACCCAGCUUGUUCAUUGAGAUCAUCAAGAGUCCUGUUAGCUGCCUGGAAUAUUACAUAUGACAGAUUGGUUUAAAUAAUUUGCUGCGUGUUUCCCCCCGCCCCCCAGUAUUCCUCCCAGAAAGAAACAGGAAAGUGCCCCCCCAUUUCACCUCAACUUGCUUCCUUUCAAUGUUGUUGCAGAGAGACAGAUUCUAAGCCUGUGACUAGUAACAAAAAGUUACAGCUUCCACCAAAACUGUGGUCCAAGGAUGCAGCCUUAAGAAAACAUCUCACGCUUAAGCAAUCUGCAGAAUUUCUGAUUUUGACCAGACAACAACCGUGCUCAGAGUCUCUGGAAAACUCUCCUUUCAGUGCCAGCUUUAAUUGACUGCCUAUGAACUAAGAAAUGCCUGCCAGGUGGCCAGGCAGUCUCAGUGUUCCUCCAAAUAAAAACACAGGCC